rnacentral:rRNA from 1 species
AUAAUACUCCAUAGAUUAGAGACACUGGAAUGUUCUGUAGUCGAAAGUUCUGGCGCCUUAGGAUGGAUCUGCGGUCGAUUAGGUUGUUGUUGGGGUAACGGCCCAACAAGCCUGUAAUCGAUACGGGUUGUGGGAGCAAGAGCCCGGAGAUGGAAUCUGAGACACGAAUCCAGGCCCUACGGGGCGCAGCAGGCGCGAAAACUUUACAAUGCGGGCAACCGUGAUAAGGGAACCUCGAGUGCCUGUAUAUGCAGGCUGUCCAGGUGUCUAAAACACACCUGAAGAAAGGGCCGGGCAAGACCGGUGCCAGCCGCCGCGGUAAUACCGGCGGCUCGAGUGGUGGCCACUUUUAUUGGGCUUAAAGCGUUCGUAGCUGGGUUGUUAAGUCUCUUGGGAAAUCCGGCAGCUUAACUGUCGGGCGUCUAAGGGAUACUGGUAAUCUUGGAACCGGGAGAGGUGAGGGGUACUUCGGGGGUAGGAGUGAAAUCCUGUAAUCCUCGAGGGACCACCUGUGGCGAAGGCGCCUCACCAGAACGGCUUCGACAGUGAGGGACGAAAGCUGGGGGAGCAAACCGGAUUAGAUACCCGGGUAGUCCCAGCCGUAAACUAUGCUCGCUAGGUGU